ACGCCGUAAACGAUACUCGCUAGGUGUCGGCCACGGUGCGACCGUUGUCGGUGCCGUAGGGAAGCCGUGAAGCGAGCCACCUGGGAAGUACGGCCGCAAGGCUGAAACUUAAAGGAAUUGGCGGGGGAGCACCACAACGGGUGGAGCUUGCGGUUUAAUUGGAUUCAACGCCGGAAAUCUUACCGGGACCGACAGCAACAUGAAGGCCAGGCUGAAGACUUUGCCGGAUUAGCUGAGAGGAGGUGCAUGGCGUAGUCGUGU
rnacentral:rRNA from 1 species